rnacentral:rRNA from 1 species
CAGCAGUAGCCACGGGAAUACAGAGGGUGCGAGCGUUAAUCGGAUUUACUGGGCGUAAAGCGUGCGUAGGCGGCUUCUUAAGUCGGAUGUGAAAUCCCUGAGCUUAACUUAGGAAUUGCAUUCGAUACUGGGAAGCUAGAGUAUGGGAGAGGAUGGUAGAAUUCCAGGUGUAGCGGUGAAAUGCGUAGAGAUCUGGAGGAAUACCGAUGGCGAAGGCAGCCAUCUGGCCUAAUACUGACGCUGAGGUACGAAAGCAUGGGGAGCAAACAGGAUUAGAUACCCCGGUAGUCCCUGUCUCUUAUAC